GUGCUCGCUUCAGCAGCACACGUACUAAAAUUGGAAUGCUACAGAGAUUGGCAUGGCCCCUGCGCAAGGAUGACUCGCAAAUUCGUGAAGCAUUCCAUAUUUUA
ensembl:snRNA U6 U6 spliceosomal RNA